rnacentral:rRNA from 1 species
CGAGCGAGAAGACGUAGCAAUACGUUUGCAAAGCGGCGAACGGGUGAGGAAUACAUGGGUAACCUACCCUAGAGUGGGGAAUAACUAGCCGAAAGGUUAGCUAAUACCGCGUACGCUCCCUGGACUUCGGUUCAGGGGGGAAAGCGCUACCGAGGGUAGCGCGCUCUUGGAUGGGCUCAUGUCCUAUCAGCUUGUUGGUGAGGUAACGGCUCACCAAGGCUUCGACGGGUAGCUGGUCUGAGAGGACGAUCAGCCACACUGGCACUGCGACACGGGCCAGACUCCUACGGGAGGCAGCAGUAAGGAAUAUUGCGCAAUGGGCGAAAGCCUGACGCAGCGACGCCGCGUGGGGGAUGAGGGUCUUCGGAUUGUAAACCCCUUUCGGGAGGGAAGAUGGAGUGGGGUAACCCACUCGGACGGUACCUCCAGAAGCAGCCACGGCUAACUUCGUGCCAGCAGCCGCGGUAAUACGAAGGUGGCAAGCGUUAUUCGGAUUUACUGGGCGUACAGGGAGCGUAGGCGGUUCGGUAAGCCCUCUGUGAAAUCUUCAGGCUUAACCUGGAAAAGUCGGAGGGGACUGCCGGGCUAGAGGACGGGAGAGGAGCGCGGAAUUCCCGGUGUAGCGGUGAAAUGCGUAGAGAUCGGGAGGAAGGCCGGUGGCGAAGGCGGCGCUCUGGAACGUUUCUGACGCUGAGGCUCG